CAUUACCACACCUAAAAAACUUUCCACGUGAACCGUUUCAACCCAAUAGUUGGGGGUCUUAUUUGGCGGCGGCUGCUGGCUUAAUUGUUGGCGGCUGCUGCUGAGUGAGCCCUAUCAAAAAAAAGGCGAACGUUUGGGCUUCGGCCUGAUUUAGUAGUCUUUUUUUCUUUUAAACCCAUUCCUUAAUACUGAAUAUACUGUGGGGACGAAAGUCUCUGCUUUUAACUAGAUAGCAACUUUCAGCAGUGGAUGUCUAGGCUCGCACAUCGAUGAAGAACGCUGCGAACUGCGAUACGUAAUGCGAAUUGCAGGAUUCAGUGAGUCAUCGAAAUUUUGAACGCAUAUUGCACUUCCGGGUUAGUCCUGGAAGUAUGCCUGUAUCAGUGUCCGUACAUUAAACUUGACUUUCUUCCUUCCGUGUAGUCGGUGGAGGAGAUGUCAGAUGUGAAGUGUCUUGCGAUUGGUCUUCGGACCGGCUGCGAGUCCUUUUAAAUGUACUAAACUGAACUUCUCUUUGCUCGAAAAGUGGUGGCGUUGCUGGUUGUGAAGGCUGCUAUUGUGGCAAAUUGGCGACUGGUUUGUCUGCUGCGGCGUUAAUGGAAGAGUGUUCGAUUCGUGGUAUGGUUGGCUUCGGCUGAACAAUGCACUUAUUGGACGUUUUUCCUGCUGUGGCGUGAUGGACUGGUGAACCAUAGCUCGGUGGCUUGGCUUUUGAAUUGGCUUUGCUGUUGCGAAGUAGGGUGGCAGCUUCGGUUGUCGAGGGUCGAUCCAUUUGGGAACUUAAUGUGUACUUCGGUAUGCAUCUCAAUUGGACCUGAUAUCAGGCA
rnacentral:misc_RNA from 1 species